CCUGUCUGCCAGCACCCAGGGGCGGAUUCAGAACCAAAUCUCGGGAGGGGCACUGGUGGUGGGCUAUAGCGGUGUGAAAAGGGCUGCAGCUGAGGAAUAGGGUACUCUUGUUUAGGGGAUAGGAUGCUGUACACAUAUGCGGCCACACACAGGGAUAUCGAAACACAAUAACACACUGACACAUACACACAAAUACAAACAUAUACCUUCAGACACAUACACUGGGACACCCACAGAUGCAAACCUAUACCUACCAGGCACACACAGAUACACACACAUACCUACACACACACACAGAUGCACAUACCUACACAUAGAUUCACAUAUACACACACUGACACACAAAUACACACACAUAUACCUGCACAUACACACACUGGCACAUAGAUACACACAUACCUAAAUACAUACACUCUGUCGCACACACACACACACACACACACACAUCCCUACACAUACAGACACACAGACAUGCACAUACACAAAAUGACACACAUACCUUCACAUACACACACAGAUACAAGGUGAUAGAAUAUACAGGCAAAACUCCAGGUACUGAAGGUGUAU